CCUACGGGAGGCAGCAGUAAGGAAUAUUGGUCAAUGGAGGCAACUCUGAACCAGCCAUGCCGCGUGCAGGAUGAAGGCCCUAUGGGUCGUAAACUGCUUUUACACAAGAGAAAACCCGGGUACGUGUACCCGGUUGAUAGUAUUGUGAGAAUAAGCAUCGGCUAACUUCGUGCCAGCAGCCGCGGUAAGACGAAGGAUGCAAGCGUUAUCCGGAUUCAUUGGGUUUAAAGGGUGCGUAGGCGGACCAGUAAGUCAGUGGUGAAAUCUCUUUGCUUAACAAAGAAACUGCCAUUGAUACUGCUAGUCUAGAGUAUAGAUGACGUUGGCGGAAUAUGACAUGUAGUGGUGAAAUACUUAGAUAUGUCAUAGAACACCGAUUGCGAUGGCAGCUAACGAAACUAUAACUGACGCUGAGGCACGAAAGUGCGGGGAUCAAACAGGAUUAGAUACCCUGGUAGUCCGCACCGUAAACGAUGAUUACUCGUUGUUGGCAAUAUGACCGUCAGCGACCAAGCGAAAGCGAUAAGUAAUCCACCUGGGGAGUACGCCGGCAACGGUGAAACUCAAAGGAAUUGACGG
rnacentral:rRNA from 1 species